rnacentral:rRNA from 1 species
CGGACGGGUGAGUAACACGUGGGCAACCUGCCUGUAAGACUGGGAUAACCCCGGGAAACCGGGGCUAAUACCGGAUAAUACUUUCUUUUGCAUAAAGGAAAGUUGAAAGGCGGCUUCGGCUGUCACUUACAGAUGGGCCCGCGGCGCAUUAGCUAGUUGGUGAGGUAACGGCUCACCAAGGCGACGAUGCGUAGCCGACCUGAGAGGGUGAUCGGCCACACUGGGACUGAGACACGGCCCAGACUCCUACGGGAGGCAGCAGUAGGGAAUCUUCCGCAAUGGACGAAAGUCUGACGGAGCAACGCCGCGUGAGUGAUGAAGGUUUUCGGAUCGUAAAACUCUGUUGUUAGGGAAGAACAAGUACGAUAGUAACUGAUCGUACCUUGACGGUACCUAACCAGAAAGCCACGGCUAACUACGUGCCAGCAGCCGCGGUAAUACGUAGGUGGCAAGCGUUGUCCGGAAUUAUUGGGCGUAAAGCGCUCGCAGGCGGUCCUUUAAGUCUGAUGUGAAAUCUCGCGGCUCAACCGCGAACGGUCAUUGGAAACUGGAGGACUUGAGUACAGAAGAGGAGAGUGGAAUUCCACGUGUAGCGGUGAAAUGCGUAGAGAUGUGGAGGAACACCAGUGGCGAAGGCGACUCUCUGGUCUGUAACUGACGCUGAGGAGCGAAAGCGUGGGGAGCGAACAGGAUUAGAUACCCUGGUAGUCCACGCCGUAAACGAUGAGUGCUAGGUGUUAGGGGGUUUCCGCCCCUUAGUGCUGAAGUUAACGCAUUAAGCACUCCGCCUGGGGAGUACGGCCGCAAGGCUGAAACUCAAA